UGGGGAAUUUUGGACAAUGGGCGCAAGCCUGAUCCAGCCAUGCCGCGUGCGGGAAGAAGGCCUUCGGGUUGUAAACCGCUUUUGUCAGGGAAGAAAUCUUCUGGGUUAAUACCUCGGGAGGAUGACGGUACCUGAAGAAUAAGCACCGGCUAACUACGUGCCAGCAGCCGCGGUAAUACGUAGGGUGCAAGCGUUAAUCGGAAUUACUGGGCGUAAAGCGUGCGCAGGCGGUUUUGUAAGACAGAGGUGAAAUCCCCGGGCUCAACCUGGGAACUGCCUUUGUGACUGCAAGGCUUGAGUGCGGCAGAGGGGGAUGGAAUUCCGCGUGUAGCAGUGAAAUGCGUAGAUAUGCGGAGGAACACCGAUGGCGAAGGCAAUCCCCUGGGCUGCACUGACGCUCAUGCACGAAAGCGUGGGGAGCAAACAGGAUUAGAUACCCUGGUAGUCCACGCCCUAAACGAUGUCAACUGGUUGUUGGGAAGGUUCCUUCUCAGUAACGUAG
rnacentral:rRNA from 1 species